rnacentral:rRNA from 2 species
GGGGAAUAUUGCACAAUGGGCGAAAGCCUGAUGCAGCGACGCCGCGUGAGGGACGAAGGCCUUCGGGUUGUAAACCUCUUUCAGCAGGGAAGAAGCGAAAGUGACGGUACCUGCAGAAGAAGCGCCGGCUAACUACGUGCCAGCAGCCGCGGUAAUACGUAGGGCGCAAGCGUUAUCCGGAAUUAUUGGGCGUAAAGAGCUCGUAGGCGGUUUGUCGCGUCUGCUGUGAAAGCCCGGGGCUCAACCCCGGGUCUGCAGUGGGUACGGGCAGACUAGAGUGCAGUAGGGGAGACUGGAAUUCCUGGUGUAGCGGUGAAAUGCGCAGAUAUCAGGAGGAACACCGAUGGCGAAGGCAGGUCUCUGGGCUGUAACUGACGCUGAGGAGCGAAAGCAUGGGGAGCGAACA